AACUGGCCUCUACAUGUGAGAGGGUACCCCCUGGAUUUAA
rnacentral:rRNA from 1 species